AACGCUGAAGAGAGGAGCUUGCUCUUCUUGGAUGAGUUGCGAACGGGUGAGUAACGCGUAGGUAACCUGCCUUGUAGCGGGGGAUAACUAUUGGAAACGAUAGCUAAUACCGCAUAACAAUGGAUGACCCAUGUCAUUUAUUUGAAAGGGGCAAAUGCUCCACUACAAGAUGGACCUGCGUUGUAUUAGCUAGUAGGUGAGGUAACGGCUCACCUAGGCGACGAUACAUAGCCGACCUGAGAGGGUGAUCGGCCACACUGGGACUGAGACACGGCCCAGACUCCUACGGGAGGCAGCAGUAGGGAAUCUUCGGCAAUGGGGGCAACCCUGACCGAGCAACGCCGCGUGAGUGAAGAAGGUUUUCGGAUCGUAAAGCUCUGUUGUAAGUCAAGAACGAGUGUGAGAGUGGAAAGUUCACACUGUGACGGUAGCUUACCAGAAAGGGACGGCUAACUACGUGCCAGCAGCCGCGGUAAUACGUAGGUCCCGAGCGUUGUCCGGAUUUAUUGGGCGUAAAGCGAGCGCAGGCGGUUUGAUAAGUCUGAAGUUAAAGGCUGUGGCUCAACCAUAGUUCGCUUUGGAAACUGUCAAACUUGAGUGCAGAAGGGGAGAGUGGAAUUCCAUGUGUAGCGGUGAAAUGCGUAGAUAUAUGGAGGAACACCGGUGGCGAAAGCGGCUCUCUGGUCUGUAACUGACGCUGAGGCUCGAAAGCGUGGGGAGCGAACAGGAUUAGAUACCCUGGUAGUCCACGCCGUAAACGAUGAGUGCUAGGUGUUGGAUCCUUUCCGGGAUUCAGUGCCGCAGCUAACGCAUUAAGCACUCCGCCUGGGGAGUACGACCGCAAGGUUGAAACUCAAAGGAAUUGACGGGGGCCCGCACAAGCGGUGGAGCAUGUGGUUUAAUUCGAAGCAACGCGAAGAACCUUACCAGGUCUUGACAUCCCGAUGCUAUUUCUAGAGAUAGAAAGUUACUUCGGUACAUCGGUGACAGGUGGNGCAUGGNNGUCGUCAGCUCGNGNCNNGAGAUGNUNGGGUUAA
rnacentral:rRNA from 3 species